rnacentral:rRNA from 1 species
UACGAAGGGGGCUAGCGUUGCUCGGAAUCACUUGGAGUAAAGCGCACGUAGGCGGAUUGUUAAGUCAGUGGUGAAAUCCUGGAGCUCAACUCCAGAACUGCCUUUGAUACUGGCGAUCUCGAGUCCGGGAGAGGUGAGUGGAACUGCGAGUGUAGAGGUGAAAUUCGUAGAUAUUCGCAAGAACACCAGUGGCGAAGGCGGCUCACUGGACCGGAACUGACGCUGAGGUGCGAAAGCGUGGGGAGCGAACAGG